rnacentral:rRNA from 1 species
UACAGAGGGGGCGAGCGUUGUUCGGAAUUACUGGGCGUAAAGGGCGCGUAGGCGGCCUUCUAAGUCGAACGUGAAAUCCCCGGGCUCAACCCGGGAACUGCGUCCGAUACUGGGAGGCUUGAAUCCGGGAGAGGGAUGUGGAAUUCCAGGUGUAGCGGUGAAAUGCGUAGAUAUCUGGAGGAACGCCGGUGGCGAAGGCGGCAUCCUGGACCGGUAUUGACGCUGAGGCGCGAAAGCGUGGGGAGCGAACAGG